AACGAACGCUGGCGGCAUGCCUAACACAUGCAAGUCGAACGAGACCUUCGGGUCUAGUGGCGCACGGGUGCGUAACGCGUGGGAACCUGCCCUUAGGUUCGGAAUAACUCCCCGAAAGGGGUGCUAAUACCGGAUAAUGUCUUCGGACCAAAGAUUUAUCGCCUUUGGAUGGGCCCGCGUUGGAUUAGCUAGUUGGUAGGGUAAAAGCCUACCAAGGCGACGAUCCAUAGCUGGUCUGAGAGGAUGAUCAGCCACACUGGGACUGAGACACGGCCCAGACCCCUACGGGAGGCGGCAGGGGGGAAUAUGGGAAAAUGGGCGAAAGCCUGAUCCAGCAAUGCCGGGGGAGUGAUGAAGGCCUUAGGGUUGUAAAGCUCUUUUACCCGGGAUGAUAAUGACAGUACCGGGGAAAUAAGCCCCGGCUAACUCCGU
rnacentral:rRNA from 1 species